rnacentral:piRNA from 1 species
GGCAGAAACUACACAGAGACCAUGGAG